CGGGCUGUCCUAGUAUAAGCACUUUAUACUGUGAACUGCGAAUGGCUCAUUAAAUCAGUUAUCGUUUAUUUGAUAGUACCUUACUACCUGGAAACCUGGGGGAAUUUUAAAACUAAUAACUGGCAAAAACCCCGAAUUGAUGAAAGGGUGUAUUUAUUAUAUAAAAAACCAACGCCCUUCUUGGCUCCUUGGUGAAUCCUAAUAACUUAACCAAUCCCAUGGGCUUGCGCCGGCGAUGGUUCAUUCAAAUUUCUGCCCUAUCAACUUUCGAUGGUAGGAUAGUGGCCUACCAUGGUGGCAACGGGUAACGGGGAAUUAGGGUUCGAUUCCGGAGAGGGAGCCUGAGAAACGGCUACCACAUCCAAGGAAGGCAGCAGGCGCGCAAAUUACCCCCUCCCGAUACGGGGAGGUAGUGACACAAAAUACUGAUACAGGGCUCUUUCGGGUCUCGUAAUUGGAAUGUGAACAAUUUAAAUCCCUUAACGAGGAACACUUGGAGGGCAAGUCUGGUGCCACCACCCGCGGUAAUUCCAGCUCCAAUAGCGUAUAUUAAAGU
rnacentral:rRNA from 1 species